UGGUUUUCUAAAAUUGUUUAGAUUUUUUUUUUGCAUAAAUAUAUUUUGAGAUUUUUAGAAAUUUCUUAUAGCUUUUUUUUUGUGGAUUUUAUGAUUCUUUUUUAUUUUUCAUUUUAUUAUAAUUUGGUUGUGAUUUUAUCUUCUUCUUUUUUUUUGUGGCUUUUAAUUUAGAGAUUUUAUGAUUCAUUUGGAUGCUUAUUGCUAAUAUUUGGUUUUUUUUCUUUAAACAGAAAAUUUAUGUGAUGCUAAGAUAAUGAAGAGAAUAAAAAUAUAGCUAUCAAACUGAUAAUUUACCAAUCAUAUGGGGCCAAAUUAUGCAUUCAACUUUUAUAUAUAAAUUGAAAUGUUAUCUUUGAACUCCUCCAUCUGUUGGCUAUACACUCAAUCCAAUAGAAAUCGCUCAAUCUAAUACAAAUUCAUCUGUCUCUUUGUGGUGCCCCACUCCCUGGCCCUUUCUACUUUUCUUAUUUUUUCAUUAAAUUAAAUUAAAUUUUAUUAAACAAUAAUUUGCCCAUUAACUUUUUGUAAUUUACUUAGAAUUAAAUGAAGAUUUUAAACUAUUAAACCCUUAACAUUUACAAACUAAAUAUUCUUAUUGAAUCAAUCAAAAUCAAUUUACAAGUAAAAUGUGGUGGGUCAAUUUUUUUAAAUACAUUAUUUAAAAAAAAUUCAUACCAUUCUAUUAAAUCUAGUUUUGGGAGGACAUGUAGCUCCAACUCUUUGAAAUUAUGAGUUAAGAUAAAAAUAAUAUUUUGUUAACUAAAAUAAGAUAAUAAAGUAACUUGUCUCUAAAUUAAAUAACUCUAACAAGAAAUUUAAAUAUUCUUUUAUAUGCAUUGCAUGUAUAAUUAUUGAUGAGUAAGAUCAACAAGAAAAGAGACACAGAGGAAGGAGUACCGGUUCACUUAAUAUGGGUGAAGAGCAGGAGGAGUUAAUUGUACAAAGGAUGUUGGGAUUACAAGGAAUUGUGCUGAGGAGUGACGACAAUAAAGGAAACUUGAAUGCUUG
rnacentral:lncRNA from 1 species